UAAAAGUUCGUUGGGGUUUUU
rnacentral:miRNA from 1 species